CGGGAUGAAGAUAUUCGGAGUUGCGGGAUUCCCAUAUUGCAAGGAUUGUCAGUCCCCGAGCAACACCAGGCUAACCUGCUAGUGUGAGAAUCCUUCAGUGGUGAAGCUGCAUUACCCAUCCGCAGAAGACCAGGCGAUGUCCUUCAUAAUUGCUCUGUAUAUUUAUUCCAAUAUAAACGGUAUAAAUUUU
rnacentral:lncRNA from 1 species